CUGUCUUGAAUUACAGUAGUCAACAAAAUAGAGCAUGGAUAGACAUAAACCUCUGCCAUGUGGUCUGCUAGCUCCGCCCUCUCAUAAUCACUUGACAACACAAUGACAUUGAUUGACAUCUGGUACAUGAUAAUUGAUUGGCCUAUUGAUGUGAACCCCAUAGCAGAUGCCUGCAAAGGGCUCUUGGGAAAAAAAGAAGAAGAUGUAAACUGGCAAUCAUUGAUAGAACAGAGAUGCUGAACAGUGAACUGUAAUAUGCUUGGAGUAUUGUGGCACAUAUUUAAGAAAUGCAUGUCAGAAGGUUGAAGGCACUGGUAGCUUUGAUGUCAGGGAUGCACGUGGAACUACAAGUGAAUUUGUACAGGUACUGGCUGUUGGCAUGUAGCUAUAGCAAAUGUCUUCUUGUGAUUCUGUAUCCUAAACAAUAGAAAAGUAGAAGGUCAACCUUGAGCAAAACCAGUUUUUUAAAUAGAAAUAGAAAUUGAUUUGAUUACUCAUACACCACCUUUCAUUAUGACAAUUCCCUCUUUCAAGAAGACCAU